CAGUAGCCGCGGUAAUACAGAGGGUGCGAGCGUUAAUCGGAUUUACUGGACGUAAAGCGUGUGUAGGUUGUUGUUCAAGUCAGUUGUGAAAUCCCUGGGCUCAACCUGGGAACUGCUUCUGAGACUGAACGACUAGAGUACGGUAGAGGGUGGUGGAAUUUCCGGUGUAGCGGUGAAAUGCGUAGAUAUCGGAAGGAACAUCAAUGGCAAAGGCAGCCACCUGGACUGAUACUGACACUGAGGUGCGAAAGCGUGGGGAGCAAACAGGAUUAGAUACCCCUGUAGUCCCUGUCUCUUAUAU
rnacentral:rRNA from 1 species